CGGGACUCAUUAAGCAGAGCGGGGUGCCGAGAGGUGCGCGCUGCCGGGCCCUGAGGCCGCCUUUGAGCGGUCGGGGCGGCUUCAUUAAGCGGCGUUAACAAGGCGUACAAAUGCAGGGCCCAGCAGCUUUCUUGCAAUGCCGGGGCCUUAGCAGGGCGCCAGGCUAAUGAGGGUCACUCAAAGGGGCUGAUCAAAUAUUCAAAUUUCCCCGCACGCCGGGAACUUUUAUGCACGGAGAAAGUUGAGGCAACUGAGCUGUGUUUACAGUCCCG
ensembl:misc_RNA